CUACGGGGGGCACCAGUGGGGAAUAUUGCGCAAUGGGCGAAAGCCUGACGCAGCAAUGCCGCGUGGGUGAUGAAGGCUCUCGGGUCGUAAAGCCCUGUCAGAGGGGAAGAAAUGGUUGUUCAGGAAAUGGUUCAACCUUGACGGUACCCUCAAAGGAAGCACCGGCUAACUCCGUGCCAGCAGCCGCGGUAAUACGGGGGGUGCUAGCGUUGUUCGGAAUCACUGGGCGUAAAGCGCGUGUAGGCGGAUGAUUAAGUCAGAUGUGAAAGCCCACGGCUCAACUGUGGAACUGCAGUUGAAACUGGUCGUCUAGAGUGCGGGAGAGGGGAGGGGAAUUCCCGGUGUAGAGGUGAAAUUCGUAGAUAUCGGGAGGAAUACCGGUGGCGAAGGCGCCUUCCUGGACCGACACUGACGCUGAGACGCGAAAGCGUGGGGAGCAAACAGGAUUAGAUACCCGCGUAGUC
rnacentral:rRNA from 1 species